AGGCCAUUUCGAAGAGAGCCCACGGGACCAAACCCAGGCGCUCAUAACGCUGACCAAAGACUGAAGUUCCACAGGACGUAGUGGUCACUCAGUAGUACAGUGUCUUCCUGAGGACGCACAAAA
rnacentral:snoRNA from 1 species